UCUCUGAUGGUCCAGUGGCUAAGACUCUGCACUUUCAGUGCAGGGGGCCCAGGUUCAAUCCCUGGUCAGGGAA
rnacentral:tRNA from 1 species